AGCGAACGCUGGCGGCAGGCCUAACACAUGCAAGUCGAACGCACCGCAAGGUGAGUGGCAGACGGGUGAGUAACGCGUGGGAACGUGCCCUUCGGUUCGGAAUAACCCGGGGAAACUCGGGCUAAUACCGGAUACGUCCGUAAGGAGAAAGAUUUAUCGCCGAAGGAUCGGCCCGCGUCGGAUUAGCUAGUUGGUGAGGUAACGGCUCACCAAGGCGAUGAUCCGUAGCUGGUCUGAGAGGACGUUCAGCCAGACUGGGAAUGAGACACGGCCCAGACUCCUACUGGAGGCAGAAGUGGGGAAUAUUGGACAAUGGGCUCAAGCCUGAUCCAGCCAUGCCGCGUGAGUGAUGAAGGCCUUAGGGUUGUAAAGCUCUUUUAGCGGGGACGAUAAUGACGGUACCCGCAGAAAAAGCCCCGGCUAACUUCGUGCCAGCCGCCGCAGUAA
rnacentral:rRNA from 1 species